AAAGCAGUUAUAGAAAAAGUUAGUACUCUAUUACUUAAGGUAGAUUUUAGUAUGAUUUUAGUUACCUUAAUUAGUUUGAACAAAUUGUUACCCGCCUUGUAAUGGUAAAAUAUAGCAUUGAUUGAUUUCCUUAUUUUAUUAAUUUCUGGACAGAUGUUUACCUAUUCUUUUAAGGUAGACAUUGAUUUUUAAUCGAUUCUUUAAUCUGAUAGGGAAAUAUUUUAUUAAUUUCUCUCUUACCCCUUUUGAAAUUUCUACUACUAUGAAAGCAGAAUCCCUUUCAUUAUUCUGGACAUUGUCAUUAGAAAAACAACUAGAGAUACCCUAAAGAGUUUGAACAUUAAAGUUCAAGAUAAGAAGAUUUUGUCGAGGAGGGGACUUGCCGGUUUUUUUUAAUUAUUAUUUCAGAUUUUUGACUGUUUUAUAUAUUUUAUUUAUUUUUACUCCUCUUGGCUGGUAAUAAUUUGUAUAUGAACUCUUUGUAUAAUAAUAAAAUAAUCCGGGAACUGUCUAAGGGGGGAA